UACGGAGGGUGCAAGCGUUGUCCGGAUUUAUUGGGUUUAAAGGGUGCGUAGGCGGCUCUUUAAGUCAGUGGUGAAAGCCUCCAGCUUAACUGGAGAACAGCCAUUGAUACUGAAGAGCUUGAGUACAGACGAGGUAGGCGGAAUUUAUGGUGUAUCGGUGAAAUGCAUAGAUACCAUAAAGAACUCCUAUUGCGAAGGCAGCUUACUAGGCUGUAACUGACGCUGAGGCACGAAAGCGUGGGGAUCAAACAGG
rnacentral:rRNA from 1 species